CACAUAAGCCUUUAGGAAUCCUAGAAACACCUCUAGGAGUAACAAAAGUUAAAAGAAAGAAAAAGAAAUCAACUCGCAGGAAGGCAAUUCUUUGACCUCUUUUUGCAGUUGACAUUGCUCUGGUGGUAACCACGGGCAACAGAGAACACUCAAAGGACCAAGGCGAGCUUUGGACUGUGAAAGAAUGUUCAAGAUAGGAGGCAGGUCUCAAGAUGAGCCUUGAAGUCUCUGUUGACAGAGGAAAGAGGAAAAACCUCCUUCCAGCCAGGAGGACACAAUCAAGAUUCAGAGGAAGUUCUAAAGCAAUGACCCUCAUUGAUGGGAAGGAGGGGCAGUGAGAUCCGACCAAUGGAAUGGAAGGGCAGGUGCCUUCAAAGUCGAUCGAAACGGGGACCCCUCCCAGACCACCGGUAUAACAUCGCAUAAACUCAGCACAUCUGUGUGAGAGACAGUCCUGCGCACUGACUACAAAAUAUUGAGCUUAAGAAUGUAAAAAUACAGAUGCAGAACAAACGAAUACCCAAGACAGUCAAACUCUCUUGCCUAAGGGGCACACAGUAUCAAACCCUACAGUCCUACUGUGUUCCAUAGGGACAGAGCUAUGGGAAACUUUAAUUCGCGUUUGUGGCACGGGAAGUGGUUAACAGCGAUAACUAGUAAUGAAGCAGAAUCAUGAGGACACACUGUGAUAAAAAGCAGCAUGACUGGUCUCUCUCCAAAUACUCUACUAAGCCACUCGGGCUCUCAGAGCCCCACUGAGAUACACAAGGCUUGUGUUCCAGGAGUAUUUCUUUUAUUUACUGAAGGCCACGGGAUGCAAGACGAGGACAGUGCUGGCAAUUUAGAUAUUCCAAAGUGAAGCCAUGCAGUAAAAAAGCAAGGGGGAAACCCUAUGCUGAGGUGGCUAAGACCCAUGGUAAGGAGAAAGCCAUGAUGUCACAUCCAUGAAAACUUGAAGAAAAGAGAAUUGCAGCAACCGACCGUUGGGAACUUCAGUGGAGAAAGUGAACCCACGGGGAGGAGAGAACCCUCAUCUAUAGCACAGCAUCUACAUCCCAGUCCCUGAUGCCUAGACAGGCCCUGGCAGUCAACAAAGACCAUAGCAAGCCCAGCCCAGCAGGUGGCAGCAGAGAAGAGGAAGUGGCAAUUUCGCUUUUGACAAGUCUGUGUAACAAUGAAGCAAUGUCGGAAAGUUAGCAGCAGGAAUAGACUGCACACCUGGACUGUAUCAACUGCUGUGACAGGUGCUGCAGGAUUUAAUGCAAUUUUGAAACUCUGUGUAUCAUAGUGACCGCAGGAGAGAGAAAUGAGAUGUAGAGGAAACAGCAGUGGCUUGCUUGCCUGUGCACAGGGGAUGGGGGGGGGGAGUGAGGGGUGAGGGUAGGGGUGGGGAAUCCUCAAGAGCAACCAAUAAAAGCCCAUCAUACCA